UGGGGAAUAUUGGACAAUGGGCGCAAGCCUGAUCCAGCCAUACCGCGUGGGUGAAGAAGGCCUUCGGGUUGUAAAGCCCUUUUGUUGGGAAAGAAAUCCUAUCGGUUAAUAACCGGUGGGGAUGACGGUACCCAAAGAAUAAGCUCCGGCUAACUCCGUGCCAGCAGCCGCGGUAAUACGGAGGGAGCUAGCGUUGUUCGGAAUUACUGGGCGUAAAGGGCUCGUAGGCGGCCAACUAAGUCGGACGUGAAAUCCCCAGGCUCAACCUGGGAACUGCGUCCGAUACUGGAUGGCUUGAAUCCGGGAGAGGGAUGCAGAAUUCCAGGUGUAGCGGUGAAAUGCGUAGAUAUCUGGAGGAAUACCGGUGGCGAAGGCGGCAUCCUGGACCGGCAUUGACGCUGAGGAGCGAAAGCCAGGGGAGCAAA
rnacentral:rRNA from 1 species